GAUGAACGCUGGCGGCGUGCUUAACACAUGCAAGUCGAACGAUGAACCAGGUGCUUGCACUUGGGGAUUAGUGGCGAACGGGUGAGUAACACGUGAGUAACCUGCCCCUGACUUCAGGAUAAGCCCGGGAAACUGGGUCUAAUACUGGAUAUGACUAUUGACCGCAUGGUUGGUGGUGGAAAGAUUUAUUGGUUGGGGAUGGACUCGCGGCCUAUCAGCUUGUUGGUGAGGUAAUGGCUCACCAAGGCGACGACGGGUAGCCGGCCUGAGAGGGUGACCGGCCACACUGGGACUGAGACACGGCCCAGACUCCUACGGGAGGCAGCAGUGGGGAAUAUUGCACAAUGGGCGAAAGCCUGAUGCAGCGACGCCGCGUGAGGGAUGACGGCCUUCGGGUUGUAAACCUCUUUCAGUAGGGAAGAAGCCGAAAGGUGACGGUACUUGCAGAAGAAGCGCCGGCUAACUACGUGCCAGCAGCCGCGGUAAUACGUAGGGCGCGAGCGUUAUCCGGAUUUAUUGGGCGUAAAGAGCUCGUAGGCGGUUUGUCGCGUCUGCCGUGAAAGACCAGGGCUCAACCCUGGUUCUGCGGUGGGUACGGGCAGACUAGAGUGAUGUAGGGGAGACUGGAAUUCCUGGUGUAGCGGUGAAAUGCGCAGAUAUCAGGAGGAACACCGAUGGCGAAGGCAGGUCUCUGGGCAUUUACUGACGCUGAGGAGCGAAAGCAUGGGGAGCGAACAGGAUUAGAUACCCUGGUAGUCCAUGCCGUAAACGUUGGGCACUAGGUGUGGGGGACAUUCCACGUUUUCCGCGCCGUAGCUAACGCAUUAAGUGCCCCGCCUGGGGAGUACGGCCGCAAGGCUAAAACUCAAAGGAAUUGACGGGGGCCCGCACAAGCGGCGGAGCAUGCGGAUUAAUUCGAUGCAACGCGAAGAACCUUACCAAGGCUUGACAUGUGCCAGACCGCCUCAGAGAUGGGGUUUCCCUUCGGGGCUGGUUCACAGGUGGUGCAUGGUUGUCGUCAGCUCGUGUCGUGAGAUGUUGGGUUAAGUCCCGCAACGAGCGCAACCCUCGUUCCAUGUUGCCAGCACGUAGUGGUGGGGACUCAUGGGAGACUGCCGGGGUCAACUCGGAGGAAGGUGGGGAUGACGUCAAAUCAUCAUGCCCCUUAUGUCUUGGGCUUCACGCAUGCUACAAUGGCCGGUACAAUGGGUUGCGAUACUGUGAGGUGGAGCUAAUCCCUAAAAGCCGGUCUCAGUUCGGAUUGGGGUCUGCAACUCGACCCCAUGAAGUCGGAGUCGCUAGUAAUCGCAGAUCAGCAACGCUGCGGUGAAUACGUUCCCGGGCCUUGCACUCACCGC
rnacentral:rRNA from 1 species